UACAGAGGGUGCGAGCGUUGUCCGGAAUCACUGGGCGUAAAGGGCGCGUAGGUGGCUUGCCAAGCGUGUGGUGAAAGCCCGGAGCUCAACUCCGGGUCUGCCAUGCGAACUGGCAGGCUUGAGCACGGUAGAGGCCAAUGGAAUUCCGGGUGUAGCGGUGGAAUGCGCAGAUAUCAGGAGGAACACCAAUUGCGAAGGCAGCUCGCUGGGACGUUACUGACGCUGAUGCACGAAAGCUAGGGGAGCAAACAGG
rnacentral:rRNA from 1 species